AAACUUGAUGAUGAAGAAUUGGUCUCCUACAUCCUCGCUGGCCUCGACAUCGACUACAACCCACUGGUCUCGGCUAUUGCGGCUCGGGUGGAGCCCAUCACAGUGGAAGAACUCUAUGCGCAGAUGCUCUCUUUUGAGA